rnacentral:lncRNA from 1 species
CUCCCCAACCCCUCGUGCUGUGUAGGCACCAGUGCAGGGAGGCCUCAGACCACAGCUUGGCUGGUGGGGCUGGGCUGAAGGAGAGGGCCCCUCCCCAGGCAGCAGGGGAUUCCUUCUGGGGUGAGCAGCGAUGUGGAGACCCAGGCCCACGCCGAGGAGCGGCUGCUGAAAAAACUCUUCUCUGGCUACAACAAGUGGUCCCGGCCUGUGGCCAACAUCUCGGAUGUGGUCUUUGUCCACUUCGGCCUGUCCAUUGCACAGCUCAUUGACGUGGACGAGAAGAAUCAGAUGAUGACAACGAAUGUGUGGGUGAAGCAAG